rnacentral:ncRNA from 1 species
UACCUGGUUGAUCCUGCCAGUAGUCAUAUGCUUGUCUCAAAGAUUAAGCCAUGCAAGUCUAAGUACGAGCUCUCGUACAGUGAAACUGCGAAUGGCUCAUUAAAUCAGUUAUGGUUCAUUUGAUCGUACAGUUUACUUGGAUAACUGUGGUAAUUCUAGAGCUAAUACAUGCGAGAAGCGCCGACCUCGCGGGAGGCGUGCAUUUAUCAGACCAAAAACCGGCCGCGUCUUCGGGCGCGUUCGCCUUGGUGACUCUGGAUAACUUUGCGGAUCGCACGGUCUAGCACCGGCGACGGAUCAUUCAAGUGUCUGCCCUAUCAACUUUCGUCGGUACGGUAUUUGCCUACCGAGGUUCUUACGGGUGACGGGGAAUCAGGGUUCGAU